rnacentral:rRNA from 1 species
AUGGAGGACGAACAAUCAGCCACAUAUACUGUGGAUGACGCCCUUAUAUCUUCAGGUUUUGGGAAGUACCAAAUAUUGAUUCUCUCCUAUGCUGGGAUAGGCUUAAUCGCAGAAGCAAUGGAGAUGAUGCUGCUAUCAUUUGUUGGUCCAUCCGUUCAGUUAGAAUGGAAUCUUACUGCUCACCAGGAAAGCAUGAUUACAAGUGUUGUUUUCGUUGGAAUGCUAAUAGGAGCUUACUCUUGGGGUGUGGUCUCAGAUAACUAUGGAAGGAGGAAAGGGUUUCUCUUUACUGCCAUUAUGACGAGUGGAGCUGGAUUCAUGAGUGCCUUUUCUCCAAACUAUGUAGCUUUAAUGGCUCUACGAUUUUUAGUUGGUAUUGGCUUGGGAGGAGGACCUGUUCUUGGAUCUUGGUUCUUGGAAUUUGUUCCUGCUCCAAGUAGAGGAACUUGGAUGGUGGUACUCUCAGCAUUUUGGACUGUCGGUACCAUCUUUGAGGCUUCACUUGCAUGGGUAGUUAUGCCCAAGUUUGGCUGGAGGUGGUUGCUAGCAUUAUCAUCUGUUCCGUCUCUCCUGCUGCUUUUGUUUUAUGCUAUCACACCAGAGUCGCCAAGGUUCCUCUGCAUGAAAGGCAGAACAAUGGAGGCUGUGGAUGUACUGGAGAAAAUGGCAAGGUUAAACGGUGCACAACUCCCUUCGGGUAAGCUUGUUUCCGACAAGAACAUUGAGCUAGAUGAAGUUUCCGAGUCUGCAACGCUUCUGGCUGCUACUGCUAAAGCUGCUAAAGAAGAAGAAAACGACAACAUCAAGGAAGACGAAGGUUCCGAUUUUGGAGGUUUCAAGUCUGUUUCUAAGCUGUUGUCACCAAAAUUGCUCAGAGCAACUCUGCUUCUGUGGAUGGCUUUCUUUGGGAAUGCAUUUUCGUAUUAUGGUAUUGUUCUGUUGACAUCGGAGUUAAGUAACGGAAAUAGGAUAUGUGCAGAACAGGAGGUUGAAUCUGUACACUCGAACAACUCGAGCCUGUACAAAAACGUGUUUAUUUCUAGCUUUGCAGAGAUUCCAGGGUCAUUCGUGUCCAUCAUGAUCGUGGAUAGAAUUGGGCGAAGGCUUUCAAUGGCUUCGAUGCUCUUCACUAGCUGUGUCUUUUUAUUCCCGCUAGUGUUUUCCCGCACUGAAAUACUGACAAGAAUCUCAUUAUUCGGUGCCCGGCUCUGCAUUUCUGCGAGCUUCACAAUCGUAUACAUAUACGCUCCUGAGGUUAGUUCUGUUCUACUCCUCUUUUCGACGGCCAGUCUUGAAAGCAAGGCUGAACCCUCUUGUCAGGUGUUAAAAUUGAACAGUAGAGUAUUCACAUCUUCGCUUCAUCAUUUCCAGAUCUACCCAACCUCUGUGAGGACAACAGGCAUCGGCGUCGCCAGCUCGGUGGGCAGGAUCGGCGGCAUUCUGUGCCCUCUCGUCGCUGUUGCUCUGGUGCACAACUGCCAUCAGACGACCGCGAUCCUCCUCUUCGAGCUCGUGGUUUUCCUCUCGGGGGUGGCCGUCAUGUUCUUCCCUUUUGAGACGAAAGGCUGUAGGCUGAACGACACCGAGGCCGAUAUGCAUUGA